UACGUAGGAUGCAAGCGUUGUCCGGUUUUAUUGGGUUUAAAGGGGGCGUAGGCGGCCUGUUGAGUUAGUGGUGAAAACGUUCGCCUUAACCGGAUACCCGCCAUUGAUACUGAUAGACUUGAGUGCGACAGAGGGUGUUGGAAUGUGUGGUGUAGCGGUGAAAUGCUUAGAUAUCACGCAGAACACCAAUUGCGAAGGCAGAUGCCUAUGUCGUAACUGACGCUGAGGAACGAAAGCGUGGGGAGCAAACAGG
rnacentral:rRNA from 1 species